GACGAACGCUGGCGGCGUGCUUAACACAUGCAAGUCGAACGAUGAAGUUCCUUCGGGAAUGGAUUAGUGGCGAACGGGUGAGGAACACGUGAGAAACCUGCCUUUCAUUUUGGGAUAACUCCGGGAAACCGGGGCUAACACCGAAUACUCCGUCUCGGCGGCAUCGCUGAGCCGGGAAAAAAUUUUGAUGAAAGAUGGUCUCGCGGCCUAUCAGCUAGUUGGUGAGGUAAUGGCUCACCAAGGCAACGACGGGGAGCCGGCCUGAGAGGGCGACCGGCCACACUGGGACGGAGACACGGCCCGGACUCCUACGGGAGGCAGCAGUGGGGAAUAUUGGGCAAUGGGCGCAAGCCUGACCCAGCGACGCCGCGUGAGGGAUGAAGGCCUUCGGGUUGUAAACCUCUUUCAGUAGGGAAGAAGCGAAAGUGACGGUACCUAAAGAAGAAGCACCGGCUAACUAUGUGACAGCCGCCGCAGUAA
rnacentral:rRNA from 1 species